rnacentral:rRNA from 1 species
UACAGAGGGUGCGAGCGUUUAUCGGAAUUACUGGGCGUAAAGGGCGCGUAGGUGGUUCGAUAAGUCAGUUGUGAAAUCCCUGGGCUUAACCUGGGAAUUGCAUUUGAUACUGUCGAACUAGAGUGUGGUAGAGGUAAGCGGAAUUCCCGGUGUAGCGGUGAAAUGCGUAGAUAUCGGGAGGAACAUCAGUGGCGAAGGCGGCUUACUGGACCAACACUGACACUGAGGCACGAAAGCGUGGGGAGCAAACAGG